AACGAACGCUGGCGGCAUGCCUAACACAUGCAAGUCGAACGAAGCCUUCGGGCUUAGUGGCGCACGGGUGCGUAACGCGUGGGAAUCUGCCUCUUGCUUCGGAAUAACAGUUAGAAAUGACUGCUAAUACCGGAUGAUGUCUUCGGACCAAAGAUUUAUCGGGCAAGAGAUGAGCCCGCGUAGGAUUAGGUAGUUGGGGGGGUAAAGGCCUACCAAGCCGACGAUCCUUAGCUGGUCUGAGAGGAUGAUCAGCCACACUGGGACUGAGACACGGCCCAGACUCCUACGGGAGGCAGCAGUGGGGAAUAUUGGACAAUGGACGCAAGACUGAUCCAGCAAUGCCGCGUGAGUGAUGAAGGCCUUAGGGUUGUAAAGCUCUUUUACCAGGGAUGAUAAUGACAGUACCUGGAGAAUAAGCUCCGGCUAACUCCGUGCCAGCAGCCGCAGUAACAC
rnacentral:rRNA from 1 species